rnacentral:sRNA from 1 species
AAAACGAUACUCCUUGUUGUCCGGCAAUUCCGCUUGAUCGCCGCGGCCGGCAGGAUUUA